rnacentral:rRNA from 1 species
UACGUAGGGUGCAAGCGUUGUCCGGAAUUAUUGGGCGUAAAGCGUGCGCAGGCGGUUUUGUAAGACAGGCGUGAAAUCCCCGAGCUCAACUUGGGAAUUGCGCUUGUGACUGCAAGGCUAGAGUAUGUCAGAGGGGGGUAGAAUUCCACGUGUAGCAGUGAAAUGCGUAGAGAUGUGGAGGAAUACCGAUGGCGAAGGCAGCCCCCUGGGACGUCACUGACGCUCAUGCACGAAAGCGUGGGGAGCAAACAGG